CCCCUUUAAACAAACCCUAACACAUAGAUUACUGGUAUCUUAAACUAACAUAAUUAUAGUCAAAGUCAAUAGAUCAUGCAUAUGACCGAGGGUUAAGGACCAAAUAUCCUCUAUGGAACUGAAAUGUACUAAUGCUUCUUCAACUACAUGGCAAUCAUCAUUGACUUACGACGAUUGGUUUCCUUCAUAGUAAAAUAAUCAAAAGCUUUAUGAAAUUUCAAAGUAACGUAAGUUUCCAAGUAAAAAGAGAAUAAUUUAGGGGGCAGGGUCAAAUAUCCUCAAUAGAAAUUGAAAGUGACAAAGUUUAUACAACUGCACACCAAAUAUCAUUGACCAUUCACUAGUGGUUCCUCAAUAACUGACCUAAUCAAAAACUAAUACAUGUAAACUAAGUUUCAGAGUCAAUUGACUAUGACAAAGGGGGUGGGGCUAAAUAUUCUGGUAAUCAGGUAAUGAGAUAUACCUAUGCUAACACAACUGCGUACAAAAAAUCAUUGACCUCCCAUAA
rnacentral:lncRNA from 1 species